rnacentral:rRNA from 1 species
UUUUGGACAAUGGGGGCAACCCUGAUCCAGCCAUUCCGCGUGAGUGAAGAAGGCCUUCGGGUUGUAAAGCUCUUUCGCGAGGGAAGAAAACUUAUGAUCGAAUAAAUCAUGAGGUUGACGGUACCUUGAUAAGAAGCACCGGCUAACUACGUGCCAGCAGCCGCGGUAAUACGUAGGGUGCGAGCGUUAAUCGGAAUUACUGGGCGUAAAGCGUGCGCAGGCGGUUUUGUAAGUCGGAUGUGAAAUCCCCGGGCUCAACCUGGGAACUGCGUUCGAACUGCAAGGCUAGAGUGUGUCAAAGGGGGGAGAUUCCACGUGAGCAGUAAAUGCGAGAAUGUGAGAAUCCAAUGGGAGGAGCCCCCUGGGAACCUGCGUCUCCAAUUAAGUAAA